AAUCGACACUACAUCUGGCGCCCGAAGUGGAUCCGAUGACCAGGCAGAAAACUACAAUCUUUAUUUGACGUGUGUUGUUUUUGAUUGGUUCCAUUGAGCAGGGAGUCGUGGUGCCAAGGCGACGGACAGAAGUGUCCCAUCCAAGGAUUUCCUCGAUUGCCAGAUAGGUGUUUCCAAUCCAAUCUGUUGUAUAUGCCAUAGAAGCUGCCGCAGCACCAGCCAUUGACGAAUCGCUUGACUUUUGAAUUUCUGUUAAUUUUAAAUUUAAUGUGAUCUACGAAUAUAGCGAUGUAAAUAACGCCAUUACCGGA